GCACCCGUAGCUCAGCUGGAUAGAGUACCUGGCUACGAACUUGGGGGUCGCACGUUCGAAUCGUGCCGGGUGCGCCA
rnacentral:tRNA from 1 species